GACGAACGCUGGCGGCGUGCUUAACACAUGCAAGUCGAACGAUGAAGCCGGAGCUUGCUCUGGUGAAUUAGUGGCGAACGGGUGAGUAACACGUGAGUAACCUGCCCUUGACUCUGGGAUAACUGCUAGAAAUGGUAGCUAAUACCGGAUACGACCCUCGGAGGCAUCUCCAGGGGGUGGACAGCAUUUCGGUCAAGGAUGGACUCGCGGCCUAUCAGCUAGUUGGUGAGGGAACGGCUCACCAAGGCGACGACGGGUAGCCGGCCUGAGAGGGUGACCGGCCACACUGGGACUGAGACACGGCCCAGACUCCUACGGGAGGCAGCAGUGGGGAAUAUUGCACAAUGGGCGCAAGCCUGAUGCAGCAACGCCGCGUGAGGGAUGACGGCCUUCGGGUUGUAAACCUCUUUUAGUAGGGAAGAAGCGAAAGUGACGGUACCUGCAGAAAAAGCACCGGCUAACUACGUGCCAGCCGCCGCAGUAA
rnacentral:rRNA from 1 species